rnacentral:rRNA from 1 species
GUCCACACUGUAAACGAUGAUUACUCGCUGCUGGGAGGUAACUUUCAGUGGCUAAGCAAAAGCGAUAAGUAAUCCACCUGGGGAGUACGCCGGCAACGGUGAAACUCAAAGGAAUUGACGGGGGCCCCGCACAAGCGGAGGAGCAUGUGGUUUAAUUCGAUGAUACGCGAGGAACCUUACCAGGGCUUGAAAGUUAGCGACCGGGUCUGAAAAGACUCUUCCCGAAAGGGCGCGAAACUAGGUGCUGCAUGGCUGUCGU